ACAACAUUUAAGGAUUGACUGCCACUGAGGAAGGAUUUCUCUGGAGAUUGCUCCUCUUGGAGUCUUUUUCUGUGAGCCCAGGAUGUGGCAGGUUGAGUCUCAGCAUCUUAGUGAAAUUUUAGACUGGAAAUUGAAGCUAAUUAUACAUGGUUUUGUUUUGUUUUAUUCCUGUAGAACCUACAUUUAAUAUACUUUAUCAAAAUUCCUUUUUAUUGCCCCUUAAGAUAUAAUAUUUAUGAAUUAAUGUGCUUUAAGAUAAAACUAAUAGGAUUUAGCCUUAAGAUUUUAUAUUCCAUUGUUAUUUUAAUUCAUUCUUACUGAAUUUUUGAAGAUCUGUCUUUUCACUGUGCCAUUUGUUGCAAUUGUAUUACCAUUAGUCUUUGAAAUUGAAUUCAUAUUUUGCUUGUCUUUCUGGGUAGGUAGUAUUUGAUUAUUUUCCAGUAUGUGUACACCUAAAUAGUUUAAGUAGGUUUUCUCAUCAAUUUUCAGCUUUCAUUAUAUUUCAUGGUAUCAACAGAUUUAGAAGUUCUAAUAGAUUAUUUCUGGUGCAAUAAGUCUUAAAAAUGAGAAUUAUUUAUAACUUGAAGUCUGUUUGUAUUUAUCAGUAUAUACAAAGAUUUUUAGGCAGACUAUUACAAAUACAUGGUUUUAAAAUUUACCAACCAGAUAAAAAAUAUAUAUAUAUAUAUAAAUAGUUACUGAGUUAUUUUU